UUCAGUUCUAGUUGCUGUAGUUUCCUCCGCAAUGUCCUGGUUUCUUUCUGGCUUUGAGUUAUUUCCAAACGAAACACUGCAUAGUCGUCGUCUACGAGUUUACAGAUUUCUGCAACGGCUGCAUUCGCUAACACCUCCAUGAUGGAGGCUAUUUGAGUGUGAAAAACCAUAACGUUGCAGUUAGCCAUUGUUAGCUAAUGUUAACCAGAUAACAUCUAUCAACCAAGUUCUGUCUCCAACGCGAAUUAAACACUACCUAGGGUGGUGGAUGUUCCAGCCUACCUACAGAGGAGGAGGAGGUGUGUACUGCAGAGACAGAUGUGCCUGAUAAAGCUCCGGGCCUGUCUGACUGAUGUCUCCCUGUACCAUCAACGCAGAUUCCAGUCAAGCUACUCCUUUACUGAACUGCAUUGUCAUCUAGCUGUGACCCUCUUCCAUGAACUGCCAGCUCCCUGAAUUUGUUUUAGUUUGUUUUUUAAAAGUGGUAGGUUCUGUAUGAAAAGUGCUAUAUGAAAUAAAUAUAUUUUUAUUACA